UUGCUUUCCAGUAAAUUUUGACAAUUUUCUUUCGCUGAAAUGCUCUAACAGCAAGGAACCUCACUGAUUUCAAUCGGUUCAUAUGAAUUUUUAAAUUCCUUUCAAAGCCUCAUGCCCAUCAUUCAGUACCCUUCCAAAUCUUCUCUGCCCAAAUUGCGUAUGUUGUAGGUCGAUGCACUAUUCAGACCUUUUCCCAAUGGCCUUUAUAGUUGUCUUCUAGACUUUAGGCUAAACUCCUUCCUCUAGGUUUUUCACUACUCACAUCUACCCAAAUUCUAAAAACACCUAUAAGCUCUAUUUUGUUUGUUGCUUUCUUGAAAGUACUCUGUUUCUUCGACUCUGCUUUCUAACCUUUGUUGGGAAGAAACGCUCGGAACGUCUUCACAGUGAGGAACUUGUUGAUGAUUUCUCUGGGAAUAAAUGUGAGUUUCAUAUUAAGGCUGUUGCCUGUUGUACAAAAAUGUUGACAUAAAGAGAGAGCACGUGGCUAUUGCCGAUUCCUUCAGUGAGGCACUGCCUACGCAGAGGGCAUCUCUAUUCUUGUCCUCCUCAUCCUCCUUCGUAGCUACUUUCCCUAGUGGAGACAAAAGACAGAGUGAUCAAUCUCGACCAAUAUGUGCAAACAAAAAUUUCUUACAUCUUUUAUUCUUUUUUUUUUAUUUUUUCCAAAUCCUAUUUCUUGUGGCUAGAGACAAAUAUCAAAAAUACCUUCCCAGAUGUUUUUGACAUUUCUUGUGUACUAUUUAUAAUCAGCAUGUUGUCAUGUAGUUUUGGUUUUCGGUGUUUUUCAACAAAAUUAACGUUUUCUUUGUCCGCUCAUAAAUUUUCAAGCUAUGGGCAAAACUGAAAUAUCAUUACCAAUAAUUCUUUUUUCUUUAUUUAUUUAUUAGAUUCCAUAGCUCAGGCCUUAUCAACUCAUACUUAAUGACUUUUUUCUGUCAUGUCUCUAUUCCCAAUACUAUUUUAUAGUUUUUUAGAACUUUACCUGCUUAUUAUGAGCUCGUGGGUGAUUUUCCAGUAGCAAUCAGGAAUGCCAGGCAUGGUUAUUUCUAGCGAUAGAUCCUGAAACAGCAGAUUUCUGAAUUAAUCAAACAGAUAUGAAAGACACGUGACUUGAAUUAAAAAUAUAGUGAUUUAUUGCUCCUACGCAAAUAAAAUAUGUUACCCUGCCAAUAUUUUUAUCAACUCUAAUAAAAAAAAAUAUUAUUACCAACAAUUCAUUUAUUAUGUUUGUUUUUUCUAAUACUCGCUUAAUGCAGUGGUGAUCCCACCAUGUAGGAGAGAUUCUAGCAGCAAGAAGGUGACAAGGCUACAAUCGUG
rnacentral:lncRNA from 1 species